rnacentral:rRNA from 1 species
UACGAAGGGGGCUAGCGUUGCUCGGAAUCACUGGGCGUAAAGAGCUCGUAGGUGGUUUGUCGCGUUGUUCGUGAAAUCUCACGGCUUAACUGUGAGCGUGCGGGCGAUACGGGCAGACUGGAGUACUGCAGGGGAGACUGGAAUUCCUGGUGUAGCGGUGGAAUGCGCAGAUAUCAGGAGGAACACCGGUGGCGAAGGCGGGUCUCUGGGCAGUAACUGACGCUGAGGAGCGAAAGCGUGGGGAGCGAACAGG